rnacentral:rRNA from 1 species
AAGGAAUUGACGGGACCCGCACAAGCGGUGGAUGAUGUGGAUUAAUUCGAUGCAACGCGAAAACCUUACCCACCUUUGACAUGUACGGAAGUUACCAGAGAUGGUUCGUGCUCGAAAGAGAACCGUAACACAGGGUGCUGCAUGGCUGUCGUCAGCUCGUGUCGUGAGAUGUUGGGUUAAGUCCCGCAACGAGCGCAACCCUUGUCAUUAGUUGCUACAUUUAGUUGGGCACUCUAAUGAGACUGCCGGUGACAAACCGGAGGAAGGUGGGGAUGACGUCAAGUCCUCAUGGCCCUUAUAGGUGGGGCUACACACGUCAUACAAUGGCUGGUACAAAGGGUUGCCAACCCGCGAGGGGGAGCUAAUCCCAUAAAGCCAGUCGUAGUCCGGAUCGUAGUCUGCAACUCGACUGCGUGAAGUCGGAAUCGCUAGUAAUCGUGGAUCAGAAUGUCACGGUGAAUACGUUCCCGGGUCUU